UUUUAAUUGGUGCACUUUAGCAAAUGUUAAACUUAAAUGUUUAAUUAACCCCCCCGCCCCCAUCUUGUGUUUUUUUUCCUUAAAUCACUAAUCUUCCAUUGGUUAGUCCUGGCAUUUGGUAUUUACUCAGUAUUAAAUGUUUAAAGUUUUCCCUCUAUUUUUCCUUCCUUUCUGUUUUUUUGACUGGUGCUGCCUAAAGCCCAAGGCUUUUAAAACUUUUUGGUUUUAAGUCUUUGAGCUGUCUGAAAUGGUGGUUCUUGGUUUCUGUCUGUUGUUGAUAAGAGGAAGAAAGAGAGUGGUGGUCACAGAACCUAGUGCUUUGGUUCAGUUGUCCCUCUGGGAUAGUCAGACCUUAAGACAAUCAGUCCUUCUACUCUUUUUUUUUUCUCUCUCUUUUAUUUUAUAUAUUUUUUUCUUUUUAAAUAAAAUCUUUGGAAGACUUGAAUCAUAAAGAUCAAUAAAUCUUUAAUUACCUAAAAGAUUUAAUCCCCUUUGUUUUUACCUGAGAAACUCCUGGGUACUUCAAAUGGUCCAGGAUCAACGGUCUCCAUUAGUUGUUUCUGUUACCCCGUUUGUAGGCUCUCACCUUUCUUUCUAGUGUGUCCCUCUAGACCUCUGUAAGGUGUUAGGGGUGUAGAGCAACAGGUAUAAAGGACAGGGUUUGCAAAUCCCAGUGGACCAUUGCUAGUGAGGUGCUAUCGUCUCCCUUGUAAAGGGGGUGCCUCGUCAGGCUGGGAGGUAUAGUCACCUUCAUAGAAUAUUCCAUCCCCAGUGCAAUGGGCAGUUAGAAUGCCAGUCUCCCUCUAGCACUCUGCUGGCUCUCAUAUUUACCCACUGCCUACCUUCCCCUUCUGCUUCUCAGUGACAAGUCAAUCAACCAAAUAAGGCCUUCAGAAUAUAGUUGGUUUCACUCUGACCACUACUAGGAGUGGCUGUUGACUGUGGUUGCCCCUCUUGUCCUAUUAUGGCUAGCAGUUGUUCCCAAAGGUCCCUUAGACUGUCUGACUCCUUCCAAAUUAGGGAGGGGAGUUUUGGCAUUAUUCAGUAGAGAAAAACAGCAAUACACAGCAGUGCAGGC
rnacentral:lncRNA from 1 species